CUUUGGCAUUUCUGGACGAGGAUUUACACUGCAGAGCUGGGCAGAGCUGCAACCAGCACCUCAGCAAACUCAACCAUGAAGGCAUCUGGGGCCCUUCUGCUGCUCACCCUUGCCAUCUGGUGUUUCUCUGAUACUGCCGGCGCCAGCUUGAGAGAGGACUUUAUCACGAGCCUGCAGGAUGUUGUGAUGAGCAUCAAGCGCUGCAAGUCUGAUUUACACGCAGGGCUGGCAACCUCCCUCCGCGACAUUGAGAACGACAUAAUAAAGACUGAAAAUGGUAAAAACUGAUCUGCAAAAUCCUAGCGAGGUCUUCCCUCAGUCUCGCUGAAGACCUUCUCUGCGAAUGGACCCAACACGAGCUCUCUUGGUACCAAAGCAGAUACUUUCAUUCCUUCAAUAAAUCAAUGCAACUGCG